GAUGAACGCUGGCGGCGUGCCUAAUACAUGCAAGUCGAGCGAACAGACGAGGAUCUUGCUCCUCUGACGUUAGCGGCGGACGGGUGUGUAACACGUGGAUAACCUACCUAUAAGACUGGGAUAACUUCGGGAAACCGGAGCUAAUACCGUAUAAUAUAUUGAACCGCAUGGUUCAAUAGUGAAAGACGGUUUUGCUGUCACUUAUAGAUGGAUCCGCGCCGCAUUAGCUAGUUGGUAAGGUAACGGCUUACCAAGGCAACGAUGCGUAGCCGACCUGAGAGGGUGAUCGGCCACACUGGAACUGAGACACGGUCCAGACUCCUACGGGAGGCAGCAGUAGGGAAUCUUCGGCAAUGGGCGAAAGCCUGACGGAGCAACGCCGCGUGAGUGAUGAAGGUCUUCGGAUCGUAAAACUCUGUUAUUAGGGAAGAACAAAUGUGUAAGUAACUAUGCACGUCUUGACGGUACCUAAUCAGAAAGCCACGGCUAACUACGUG
rnacentral:rRNA from 1 species